GACGAACGCUGGCGGCGUGCUUAACACAUGCAAGUCGAACGAGAAUCUACUGAAAGAGUUUUCGGACAAUGGAUGUAGAGGAAAGUGGCGGACGGGUGAGUAACGCGUGAGGAACCUGCCUUGAAGAGGGGGACAACAGUUGGAAACGACUGCUAAUACCGCAUGGUGCAUAGGGAUCGCAUGAUUCUUAUGCCAAAGAUUUAUCGCUUCAAGAUGGCCUCGCGUCUGAUUAGCUAGUUGGCGGGGUAACGGCCCACCAAGGCGACGAUCAGUAGCCGGACUGAGAGGUUGAACGGCCACAUUGGGACUGAGAUACGGCCCAAACUCCUACGGGAGGCAGCAGUGGGGAAUAUUGGGCAAUGGGCGCAAGCCUAACCCAGCAACGCCGCGUGAAGGAAGAAGGCUUUCGGGUUGUAAACUUCUUUUAUAUGUGACGAAUAUGACGGUAGCAUAUGAAUAAGGAUCGGCUAACUCCGUGCCAGCCGCCGCGGUAA
rnacentral:rRNA from 1 species